UACGUAGGGUGCAAGCGUUGUCCGGAAUUAUUGGGCGUAAAGAGCUCGUAGGCGGUUUGUCGCGUCGAAUGUGAAAACCCGGGGCUCAACUCCGGGCCUGCAUUCGAUACGGGCAGACUAGAGUUCGGUAGGGGAGACUGGAAUUCCUGGUGUAGCGGUGAAAUGCGCAGAUAUCAGGAGGAACACCGGUGGCGAAGGCGGAUCUCUGGGCCGUAACUGACGCUGAGGAGCGAAAGCAUGGGGAGCGAACAGG
rnacentral:rRNA from 1 species